rnacentral:rRNA from 1 species
AGCAGCCGCGGUAAUUCCAGCUCCAAUAGCGUAUAUUAAAGUUGUUGCAGUUAAAAAGCUCGUAGUUGAAUUUCGGGAUCAAUUUAUCGGUCGUGCCAAUGGUAUGAACUGGUACAAUUGGUUUCUUCCUUCUGAUAAAGCGUGAUGCCAUUAACUUGGUGUCGCCGGGGAAUCAGAACUGUUACUUUGAAAAAUUAGAGUGUUUAAAGCAGGCUUAGGCUUGAAUACAUUAGCAUGGAAUAAUGAAAUAGGACGUUUGAUCCUAUUUCGUUGGUUUCUAGGAUCGACGUAAUGAUUAAUAGGGAUGGUUGGGGGCAUUAGUAUUCAAUUGUCAGAGGUGAAAUUCUUGGAUUUAUUGAAGACUAACUACUGCGAAAGCAUUUGCCAAGGAUGUUUUCAUUAAUCAAGAACGAAAGUUAGGGGAUCGAAGACGAUCAGAUACCGUCGUAGUCUUAACCAUAAACUAUGACCGACUAGGGAUCGGAUGAUGUUAAUUUUUAAUGUACUCAUUCGG